AGAAGUCACAACUAUUUAAGGUCGAGCAAUAGAAUUUUGGUGUUAAUGCAUGUUAGAGACAUAGUAUAAUAGACUAUGCUCAUGAAACAGACCACACACAAAAAGAAUAUGCAAAAGAGGUGGCCUAAUAUCAUUCAUACUUAUGUUGAUUUUGCAAUCAACUAGCCUUUGGACUUAGAGAUAUCAUAGGCCAAAUGAGAUGAAUGCAUAAAGAAUGGGAAUGAGAUG
rnacentral:lncRNA from 1 species